AUUAAUAACCGGGGUCGGGAACCCCAUAUAAUUAAU
rfam:Sinomicrobium oceani strain CGMCC 1.12145 genome assembly, contig: IQ32DRAFT_scaffold00004.4